rnacentral:snRNA from 14 species
ACACUGACCUGGCAGUGAGAUACUAUUAUCGCAAAGAUGGCUUCCCAGGGUAAGGCUCAUCCAUGGUACUCUAGGUGUGCUGGUCUCUACGGUCUCCCCAAAUUCAGGAAAUUCAACCAUAUUACCAGAGUAGUAGUAGUAGUAGUAGUAGUAGUAGUAG